UACAGAGGUCCCGAGCGUUGUUCGGAUUCACUGGGCGUAAAGGGUGCGUAGGUGGCAUGUUAAGUUUGAUGUGAAAGCUCAGGGCUUAACCCUGAAAUGGCAUUGAAUACUAGCGUGCUGGAGGUUUGGAGGGGGGACUGGAAUUCUCGGUGUAGCAGUGAAAUGCGUAGAUAUCGAGAGGAACACCGUGGCGAAGGCGAGUCCCUGGACAACACCUGACACUGAGGCACGAAAGCCGGGGGAGCAAACAGG
rnacentral:rRNA from 1 species